rnacentral:rRNA from 1 species
AGCAGCCGCGGUAAUUCCAGCUCCAAUAGCGUAUAUUAAAGUUGUUGCAGUUAAAAAGCUCGUAGUUGAAUUUCGGGACCAAUCUGCCGGUCGUGCCUCCGGUACGCACUGGUUUUAUUGGUCUCUCCCUUCUGACGAACCAUGAUGUCGUUAAUUUGGUGUCAUGGGGAAUCAGGACUGUUACUUUGAAAAAAUUAGAGUGUUUAUAGCAGGCUCACGCUUGAAUACAUUAGCAUGGAAUAAUGAAAUAGGACGUUUGACCCUAUUUUGUUGGUUUCUAGGAUCGACGUAAUGAUUAAUAGGGAUAGUUGGGGGCAUUAGUAUUCAAUUGUCAGAGGUGAAAUUCUUGGAUUUAUUGAAGACUAACUACUGCGAAAGCAUUUGCCAAGGAUGUUCUCAUUAAUCAAGAACGAAAGUUAGGGGAUCGAAGACGAUCAGAUACCGUCGUAGUCUUAACCAUAAACUAUGCUGACUAGGGAUCGGAUGAUGUUAAUUUUUUU